rnacentral:rRNA from 1 species
CAAUAGCGUAUACUAAAGUUGUUGCGAUUAAAAAGCUCGUAGUUGGAUCUCAGGCAUGGGCGCACGGUCCGCCUCGCGGCGGUCACUGUGUGUUUUGUUUCCCAUCCUACGCUUCCCGGUUAUCAGCCCAUGGUGCUCUUCACUGAGCGUUUUGGGUGGCCGGAACGUUUACUUUGAAGAAAUUAGAGUGUUCAAAGCAGGCACGUCGCCUGAAUAAUGGUGCAUGGAAUAAUGGAAUAGGACCUCGGUUCUAUUUUGCUGGUUUUCGGAACACGGGGUAAUGAUUAAGAGGGACAGACGGGGGCAUCCGUAUUGCGGUGUUAGAGGUGAAAUUCUUGGAUCAUCGCAAGACGAACAACUGCGAAAGCAUUUGCCAAGCAUGUUUUCAUUAG